rnacentral:rRNA from 1 species
AUUGAACGCUGGCGGCAUGCUUUACACAUGCAAGUCGAACGGCAGAGCGGGCUUUGGCCUGGCGGCGAGUGGCGAACGGGUGAGUAAUGCAUCGGAACGUGCCCAGUAGUGGGGGAUAGCCUGGCGAAAGCCGGAUUAAUACCGCAUACGACCUGAGGGUGAAAGCGGGGGAUCUUCAGGCCUCACGCUAUUAGAUCGGCCGAUGUCGGAUUAGCUAGUUGGUGGGGUAAAGGCUUACCAAGGCGACGAUCCGUAGCUGGUCUGAGAGGACGACCAGUCACACUGGGACUGAGACACGGCCCAGACUCCUACGGGAGGCAGCAGUGGGGAAUUUUGGACAAUGGGGGCAACCCUGAUCCAGCCAUGCCGCGUGCGGGAAGAAGGCCUUCGGGUUGUAAACCGCUUUUGGUCGGGAAGAAAUCCUCUGGGCUAAUACCCCGGGGGGAUGACGGUACCGGAAGAAUAAGCACCGGCUAACUACGUG